AGAGUUUGAUCCUGGCUCAGGAUGAACGCUAGCGACAGGCUUAACACAUGCAAGUCGAGGGGCAGCGGGGGGGUAGCAAUACUCCCGCCGGCGACCGGCGCACGGGUGAGUAACACGUAUGGAACCUGCCCGCAGCAGGGGGAUAAGCGGAAGAAAUUCCGUCUAAUACCGCGUAACAAUUCCCGGAGGCAUCUCCGGGGAUUUAAAGGAGGCAACUCCGGCUGCGGAUGGCCAUGCGGCGCAUUAGCUUGUUGGCGGGGUAACGGCCCACCAAGGCGACGAUGCGUAGGGGUUCUGAGAGGAAGGUCCCCCACACUGGUACUGAGACACGGACCAGACUCCUACGGGAGGCAGCAGUGAGGAAUAUUGGUCAAUGGCCGAGAGGCUGAACCAGCCAAGUCGCGUGAGGGAUGACGGUCCUAUGGAUUGUAAACCUCUUUUGUCGGGGAGCAAAGGACGCCACGUGUGGUGUUUUGCGAGUACCCGAAGAAAAAGCAUCGGCUAACUCCGUGCCAGCAGCCGCGGUAAUACGGAGGAUGCGAGCGUUAUCCGGAUUUAUUGGGUUUAAAGGGUGCGCAGGCGGAAUGUCAAGUCAGCGGUAAAAUUUCGGGGCUCAACCCCGUCGUGCCGUUGAAACUGGCGUUCUUGAGUGAGCGAGAAGUAUGCGGAAUGCGUGGUGUAGCGGUGAAAUGCAUAGAUAUCACGCAGAACUCCGAUUGCGAAGGCAGCAUACCGGCGCUCAACUGACGCUCAUGCACGAAAGCGUGGGUAUCGAACAGGAUUAGAUACCCUGGUAGUCCACGCAGUAAACGA
rnacentral:rRNA from 1 species